GCCAGGCAUGGUGGUGCAUGCCUGUAAUCCCAGCAGCUCAGGAGGCUGAGGCAGGAGGAUUGUGAGUUCAAAGCUCAGCCUCAGCAAAAGUGAGGUGCUAAAGCAAAUCAGUGAGACCCUGCCUCUA
rnacentral:sRNA from 1 species